rnacentral:rRNA from 1 species
AUUGAACGCUGGCGGCAGGCUUAACACAUGCAAGUCGAGCGGGGUGAUGGUGCUUGCACUAUCACUUAGCGGCGGACGGGUGAGUAAUGCUUAGGAAUCUGCCUAUUAGUGGGGGACAACAUCUCGAAAGGGAUGCUAAUACCGCAUACGUCCUACGGGAGAAAGCAGGGGAUCACUUGUGACCUUGCGCUAAUAGAUGAGCCUAAGUCGGAUUAGCUGGUUGGUGGGGUAAAGGCCUACCAAGGCGACGAUCUGUAGCGGGUCUGAGAGGAUGAUCCGCCACGCUGGGACUGGGUGACGGCCCAGACUCCAACGGGAGGCAGCAGUGGGGAAUAUUGGACAAUGGGGGGAACCCUGAUCCAGCCAUGCCGCGUGUGUGAAGAAGGCCUUAUGGUUGUAAAGCACUUUAAGCGAGGAGGAGGCUCUUUUGGUUAAUACCCAAGAUGAGUGGACGUUACUCGCAGAAUAAGCACCGGCUAACUCUGUGCCAGCCGCCGCCGUAA